CUCAAACUAUAUGACUGCUUUUUCCUUGAGACAAAUACUCUACUCCCACAUGCAGCAGAAAUGCUUAUGUGUAAUGAAUUAAGAACAAUGGUUUAUGGAGUCUUUUGAUUCUUUGAUUCAUGUGCAAGUUGUUCUAACAAAAUACCAUAUGGCAUUUCAGUAAUCAAGUACUGGUUGGGUUUUACCCUUUAGCUUUUAGAGGCAAGAAACAAGUUUUAUAUCUGGAUAUUCUUCCACAGUUUGUGAUAAAAAGUUUGAUAAAAAGUCCACAUACACCUGGGAGGCUAAAUUACAACACAUGAAACUCCAUUUAUCCAGAAUCCUUAGAGCAGACAGCUAGGGUGAGCUUUGUGCAAAAAAAGCCUUUUUCAAUUUUAAGCAUUAAAAUUUCUUAUUACAAAAUUUCCUCCUAUAUUAGAGUAUAAGGAAAAUAAAAUUACUGUGUUAUGUUCAUCUUUAUAGGUAUGGAGUAUUAGGAUUUCCUCAGGGUUGCAGAAGGUUCUACAUCUUGCCACAAAAUAGUUCCAUGCUGCCAUACUACUCUGCUUACUGAAUUCUUAGAUUGCUUUUUAAUAGUUUUUGUUUUGUUUCAGUUUUGGUCAACUCUUUUAAGUUUUCACUUCCCACUGUCCUUAUUGUCAUUCUUUCUCUCCUUCUAUUUUCCACAUUUAAUAUCCUUUAGGAUGAAAACCCAGAUAAUCAAGCAUAGUUGAAAUUUGUUAAAAAAAGAAGACUUUACAGAGUCUGAGUUGGGGCUAGGGAUGCUCUCACAUCAAAACAGCACAGAAGUGCCUUGGCUUCAUGUUGGUGGCAGAAAGAAUAUAAACCUCUAUUUAUUACCGUUUAUAGAGUUGACCAUUGAAUAAUAAGGGUUUAAACUCUGUGGGUUCACUCAUUACUAGAAUUUUUUCAGUAGGUAUAUAAAUUUAUGGUAUCAACAAAUACAGUACAGUAUUCAAAAUGUAUUUUAAUAAGUAAUCCUUAUGACUUUAACAUUUUCUUUUCUUCUAGCUUAUUUGUUGUAGAAUACAGUAUAUAAUACAUAUGACAUACAAAAUGUGUUGAUCCACUGUUUAUGUUAAUAGUAAGGCUUCUGGUCAACUAUAGGCUAUUAGUUAAGUUUUGGGAGAGUCAAAAGCUAUAGAUUUUUGACUACACAGGCAUCAGUGGCCGUAAUUCCCUACGUGAUUCAACUCUGGACAAGUCAUGCAACUUCUGAGUCCCAGUUUCCUCAUUAUUAUAAAAUAGGAAUAACCUCAGCCUCACAACAUUGUUGCUAGGAUAAAAUCAACAAUUCUAGAAUUCUAUAUUUAAUGCAUAUAAAACCUCACAGGCUGUUGUAAAAACUAAACAGUGCGUGUAAAACAUGCAGGACACUGACAGCCAGCUGCCAUCUUGUGAGCUCAUCUAUGGAGAGGACUGUGUGGCAAGGAACUCAAGAUGUUCACAAAGAAAUGAACUCUACUGGCAACUACUCAGUGAGCUUGGAAGCAGAUCCUACCCCAACUGAACCUUGAGAGGAUUGUGGCCAUGGCUGACAGCUUGACUGCAACCUCAGGAGAGACCCUCAGCAAGAGGACCCAGCUAAGCUGUGCUGGAUUCCUGAGAAUUAAUAAAUGACUCUGGUCACAUAA